rnacentral:rRNA from 1 species
AGAGUUUGAUCCUGGCUCAGGACGAACGCUGGCGGCGUGCUUAACACAUGCAAGUCGAACGAAAAGACGGAAAGAGCUUGCUCUUUCCGGAAUUGAGUGGCAAACGGGUGAGUAACACGUAAACAACCUGCCUUCAGGAUGGGGACAACAGACGGAAACGACUGCUAAUACCGAAUAAGUUCCAAGAGCCGCAUGGCCCAUGGAAGAAAAGGUGGCCUCUACCUGUAAGCUAUCGCCUGAAGAGGGGUUUGCGUCUGAUUAGCUGGUUGGAGGGGUAACGGCCCACCAAGGCGACGAUCAGUAGCCGGUCUGAGAGGAUGAACGGCCACACUGGAACUGAGACACGGUCCAGACUCCUACGGGAGGCAGCAGUGGGGAAUCUUCCGCAAUGGGCGAAAGCCUGACGGAGCAACGCCGCGUGAGUGAUGACGGCCUUCGGGUUGUAAAACUCUGUGAUCCGGGACGAAAAGGCAGAGUGCGAAGAACAAACUGCAUUGACGGUACCGGAAAAGCAAGCCACGGCUAACUACGUGCCAGCAGCCGCGGUAAUACGUAGGUGGCAAGCGUUAUCCGGAUUUACUGGGUGUAAAGGGCGUGUAGGCGGGAUUGCAAGUCAGAUGUGAAAACCACGGGCUCAACCUGUGGCCUGCAUUUGAAACUGUAGUUCUUGAGUACUGGAGAGGCAGACGGAAUUCCUAGUGUAGCGGUGAAAUGCGUAGAUAUUAGGAGGAACACCAGUGGCGAAGGCGGCUUACUGGACGGUAACUGACGUUGAGGCUCGAAAGCGUGGGGAGCAAACAGGAUUAGAUACCCUGGUAGUCCACGCC